AGCGAACGCUGGCGGCAGGCUUAACACAUGCAAGUCGAGCGGGCGUAGCAAUACGUCAGCGGCAGACGGGUGAGUAACGCGUGGGAACAUACCUUUUGGUUCGGAACAACACAGGGAAACUUGUGCUAAUACCGGAUAAGCCCUUACGGGGAAAGAUUUAUCGCCGAAAGAUUGGCCCGCGUCUGAUUAGCUAGUUGGUAGGUAAUGGCCUACCAAGGCGACGAUCAGUAGCUGGUCNGAGAGGAUGAUCAGCCACAUUGGGACUGAGACACGGCCCAAACUCCUACGGGAGGCAGCAGUGGGGAAUAUUGGACAAUGGGGCAACCCUGAUCCAGCCAUGCCGCGUGAGUGAUGAAGGCCCUAGGGUUGUAAAGCUCUUUUGCGCGGGAAGAUAAUGACGGUACCGCAAGAAUAACGCCCCGGCUAACUUCGUGCCACGCCGCCG
rnacentral:rRNA from 1 species